GAUGAACGCUGGCGGCGUGCCUAACACAUGCAAGUCGAACGGAUCUGUAUUGAAACCUAGUGAUAUACAGGUUAGUGGCGGACGGGUGAGUAACGCGUGGAUAACCUGCCGUAUACCGGGGGAUAACACUUAGAAAUAGGUGCUAAUACCGCAUGAGCGCACAGCUCCGCAUGGAGCAGUGUGAAAAACUCCGGUGGUAUACGAUGGAUCCGCGUCUGAUUAGCCAGUUGGCGGGGUAACGGCCCACCAAAGCGACGAUCAGUAGCCGGCCUGAGAGGGUGAACGGCCACAUUGGGACUGAGACACGGCCCAG
rnacentral:rRNA from 1 species